rnacentral:rRNA from 1 species
UGGGGAAUAUUGCACAAUGGGCGCAAGCCUGAUGCAGCCAUGCCGCGUGUAUGAAGAAGGCCUUUGGGUUGUAAAGUACUUUCAGUCGGGAGGAAGGUGUCAAGGUUAAUAACCUUGGCAAUUGACGUUAUCGACAGAAGAAGCAUCGGCUAACUCCGUGCCAGCAGCCGCGGUAAUACGGAGGGUGCAAGCGUUAAUCGGAAUUACUGGGCGUAAAGCGCACGCAGGCGGUUGAUUGAGUCAGAUGUGAAAUCCCCAGGCUUAACCCGGGAAUUGCAUCUGAUACUGGUCAGCUAGAGUCUUGUAGAGGGGGGUAGAAUUCCAUGUGUGGCGGUGAAAUGCGUAGAGAUGUGGAGGAAUACCGGUGGCGAAGGCGGCCCCCUGGACAAAGACUGACGCUCAGGUGCGAAAGCGUGGGGAGCAAACAGG